UUGUCUACCUCCUUGUACCCACCUGAGUCGAGCUCUGUCAGUGCGUGAUUCUUGCCAAUCGCUAAACGUAGGACUCGAGGAAGGCCAUUGGCACUUCUGCUGAGAAGACAGUGCAAGUGCCUAUAAAAACGACAGUUUAGGGGGGAAACAAACCAAUACCCGGAAAACUGAGAGACCAGCUUUUUAAUCGUCAUGGUUUUAUGUAAAAUAAAACAGCACGUGGAAGGUAUUGUAAGCGCUUGGUGGCUGCUCGAGCCCCCAGGAAGGUGCUUGGUUCUUCCACUUCUGCCACUAAUUCGACACCAGUUUCAUCGAGGAAAGCUGAAAAUAAAUAUGCAGGAGGGAAUCCCGUUUGCGUGCGCCCAACUCCCAAGUGGCAAAAAGGAAUUGGAGAAUUCUUUAGGUUGUCCUCUAAAGAUUCUGAAAAAGAGAAUCAGAUUCCUGAAGAGGCAGGAAGCAGUGGCUUAGGAAAAGCAAAGAGAAAAGCAUGUCCUUUGCAGCCUGAUCACACAAAUGAUGAAAAAGAAUAGAACUUUCUCAUUCAUCUUUAAAUAACGUCUCCUUGUUUACCCUGGUAUUCUAGAAUGUAAAUUUACAUAAAUGUGUUUAUUCCAAUUAGCUUUGUUGAACAGGCGUUUAAUUAAGAAAUUUAGGUUUAAAUUUAGAUGUUCAAAAGUAGUUGUGAAAUUUGAGAAUUUUUAAGACUAAUUAUGGUAACUUAGCUUAGUAUUCAGUAUAAUGCAUUGUUUGGUUUCUUUUACCAAAUUAAGUGUCUUGUUCUUGCUAAAAUCUAGUCACUGCAUUGUGUUCUAAUUACAAGUAUGCUGUAUUUGAGAUUUGCUUAAAUUGUUGUACUGCUGCCAUUUUUAUUGGUGUUUGAUUCUUGGAAUGGUGCCAUAUUGUCACUCCUUCUAUUUGCUUUAAAAAGCAGAGUUAGACUUUUGCACAUUAAAAAAAAAUCAGUAUUAAUUAAACCUUA